UACAGGGGGUGCGAGCGUUAAUCGGAAUUACUGGGCGUAAAGCGCGCGUAGGCGGCUUUGCAAGUCGGGUGUGAAAUCCCCAGGCUCAACCUGGGAACUGCAUUCGAGACUGCAUUGCUAGAGUAUGGGAGAGGGAAGUGGAAUUUCCGGUGUAGCGGUGAAAUGCGUAGAUAUCGGAAGGAACAUCAGUGGCGAAAGCGACUUCCUGGACCAAUACUGACGCUCAUGUGCGAGAGCGUGGGGAGCAAACAGG
rnacentral:rRNA from 1 species